UCUUCUAUCAUUUAUUUUCUUAUAAUAAAAACCCUAAAACAAAAGAUAAAACACACACACAAGAGUUGGGACUAUUGGUGCAAUUUCUGAAGAGAGAGACAAAGAAACAACGAAAGAUGACAAGGGGAAAACAAAAGAUCGAAGCACAAAGGAAAAAUGCAGAAAAAAAUCAGAAAAAUAAAGGAUCUCAAUUUGAAGCUCGUGCUGUUGCUCUCAAAAUUGUUUGCCCAAUUUGUAAAGUGCAGUUAGCAAAUCAAAACCAGCUUAAUGAUCAUUACGGCUCGAAGCAUCCAAAGGAGAAGCCUCCAAGCAACUCUGAAUGACCCAUUUCUGGCUCUGCAGAACAUAUCGUUAUGAUUGGGUCUCUUUCUGGGCUAUACUUAAUGGUUUGUGCGUAUAGGAACCUAGCAGGUGUCUUGUCUACAAGAAAGAGCAAUUCAAACGAGUGUCAAAAGUGUGAAACUAAUGCAAAAGGUUUGUCUUGUCAGUUUUUGUUGUUUCCAAUGCUCUUUUGCCUUCAGAAUUGGCUUUUGUAAUAUGUCAUAUACUCAUAUCUUCUGUUUCGUUGCUUUUACAUUGAUGCAUCAACAAAAUAUAAAGUUAUAGCCUUAUAUAGAGCCAUGAAGUGUGAACAAUAUUGCCUGCUACUGUCGUGAACACUGGUUGUAAGAUGAAAUUCAUUUUGCAAAAUGAGUGUAAUAGUGUAAUACUUUGUUUAA